AUUGAACGCUGGCGGCAUGCCUAACACAUGCAAGUCGAACGGCAGCACGGUCUAGCUUGCUAGACGGGUGGCGAGUGGCGAACGGGUGAGUAACGCGUAGGAAUAUACCUUGAAGUGGGGGACAACCUGGGGAAACUCAGGCUAAUACCGCGUAAUCUCUUCGGAGGGAAGCUGGGGACCGCAAGGCCUGGCGCUUUAAGAUUAGGCUGCGUCCGAUUAGCUAGUUGGUGGGGUAAAGGCCUACCAAGGCGACGAUCGGUAGCUGGUCUGAGAGGAUGAUCAGCCACACUGGGACUGAGACACGGCCCAGACUCCUACGGGAGGCAGCAGUGGGGAAUAUUGGACAAUGGGGGGAACCCUGAUCCAGCAAUGCCGCGUGUGUGAAGAAGGCCUGAGGGUUGUAAAGCACUUUCGGCGGGGAGGAGGAUGAGUUGGUUAAGAGCUGACUUAUUGGACGUUACCCGCAUAAGAAGCACCGGCUAACUCCGUGCCAGCAGCCGCAGUAAGAC
rnacentral:rRNA from 1 species